rnacentral:tRNA from 1 species
GGCGCUAUAGCCAAGUGGUUACGGCGACAGAUUCGAAUCUUUUCGUAUUAUCUGUUCCUCUUUGAGGGCGCAGGUUCAAAUCCUGCUGGCGUCG